GUUAUAGGGUCAAGCGAACAAGUGCAUGUGGUGGAUGCCUUGGCGAUCACAGGCGAUGAAGGACGCGGUAGCCUGCGAAAAGCUUCGGGGAGCUGGCAAACAAGCUUUGAUCCGGAGAUGUCCGAAUGGGGAAACCCGGCCCGUAUGGGUCAUCCCUGACUGAAUACAUAGGUCAGGGAAGCGAACGCGGCGAACUGAAACAUCUAAGUAGCUGCAGGAACAGAAAUCAACCGAGAUUCCCAGAGUAGUGGCGAACGAAAUGGGAAGAGCCUUGUACUCUUUAGCAGCAUUGUUAGCAGAACGGGAUGGAAAGCCCGGCCAUAGCAGGUGAUAGCCCUGUAUGCGAAAACAGCGUUGUGGAACUAGGUGUACGACAAGUAGGGCGGGACACGUGAAAUCCUGUCUGAAGAUGGGGGGACCAUCCUCCAAGGCUAAAUACUCGUGAUCGACCGAUAGUGAACCAGUACCGUGAGGGAAAGGCGAAAAGAACCCCGGGAGGGGAGUGAAAUAGAUCCUGAAACCGCAUGCAUACAAACAGUCGGAGCCUGGAAACGGGUGACGGCGUACCUUUUGUAUAAUGGGUCAGCGACUUACAUUCAGUGGCAAGCUUAACCGAUUAGGGAAGGCGUAGCGAAAGCGAGUCCGAAUAGGGCGUUCAGUCGCUGGGUGUAGACCCGAAACCAGACGAUCUAUCCAUGGCCAGGUUGAAGGUGCGGUAACACGUACUGGAGGACCGAACCCACUAACGUUGAAAAGUUAGGGGAUGAGCUGUGGAUAGGGGUGAAAGGCUAAACAAGUCUGGAAAUAGCUGGUUCUCUCCGAAAACUAUUUAGGUAGUGCCUCGUGUCUCACCUUCGGGGGUAGAGCACUGUCAUGGUUGGGGGGUCUAUUGCUGAUUACCCCGCCAUAGCAAACUCCGAAUACCGAAGAGUGCAAUCACGGGAGACAGACAUCGGGUGCUAACGUCCGGUGUCAAGAGGGAAACAACCCAGACCGCCAGCUAAGGUCCCUAAGAUUGGCUAAGUGGGAAACGAAGUGGGAAGGCUAAAACAGUCAGGAGGUUGGCUUAGAAGCAGCCAUCCUUUAAAGAAAGCGUAAUAGCUCACUGAUCGAGUCGUCCUGCGCGGAAGAUGUAACGGGGCUAAGCCAGUCACCGAAGCUGCGGAUGCGUGCAUUCCUUUAAGUGCACCUUGCUUGUCGAUGCGCAGCAUCGACAAAGCGCCCAACAGUGAUCGUUGGGAUGCAAGUGAAGUGGAUUUAAAGGAGUGCACGCAUGGUAGGAGAGCGUUCUGUAAGCCUGUGAAGGUGUCUUGUAAAGGAUGCUGGAGGUAUCAGAAGUGCGAAUGCUGACAUGAGUAGCGAUAAAGGGGGUGAAAAGCCCCCUCGCCGUAAGCCCAAGGUUUCCUACGCAACGUUCAUCGGCGUAGGGUGAGUCGGCCCCUAAGGCGAGGCAGAGAUGCGUAGCUGAUGGGAAGCAGGUUAAUAUUCCUGCACCGUCGUAUGAUGCGAUGGGGGGACGGAUCGCGGAAGGUUGUCCGGGUGUUGGAAGUCCCGGUCCCUGUAUUGGAGAAGGCGCUUAGGCAAAUCCGGGCGCGGAAUUCAAGGAUAUGGGGCGAGCGGCCUAGUGCUGCGAAGCAAUUGGAAGUGGUUCCAAGAAAAGCCUCUAAGCUUCAGUCAUACGAGACCGUACCGCAAACCGACACAGGUGGGCGAGAUGAGUAUUCUAAGGCGCUUGAGAGAACUCGGGAGAAGGAACUCGGCAAAUUGGUACCGUAACUUCGGGAUAAGGUACGCCCUUGUAGCUUGACUGGCCUGCGCCAGGAGGGUGAAGGGGUUGCAAUAAAAUGGUGGCUGCGACUGUUUAAUAAAAACACAGCACUCUGCAAACACGAAAGUGGACGUAUAGGGUGUGACGCCUGCCCGGUGCCGGAAGAUUAAAUGAUGGGGUGCAAGCUCUUGAUUGAAGUCCCGGUAAACGGCGGCCGUAACUAUAACGGUCCUAAGGUAGCGAAAUUCCUUGUCGGGUAAGUUCCGACCUGCACGAAUGGCGUAACGAUGGCCACACUGUCUCCUCCCGAGACUCAGCGAAGUUGAAGUGUUUGUGAUGAUGCAAUCUCCCCGCGGCUAGACGGAAAGACCCCAUGAACCUUUACUGUAGCUUUGCAUUGGACUUUGAACCGAUCUGUGUAGGAUAGGUGGGAGGCUUUGAAGCGUGGACGCUAGUCUGCGUGGAGCCGUCCUUGAAAUACCACCCUGGUUUGUUUGAGGUUCUAACCUUGGCCCGUGAAUCCGGGUCGGGGACAGUGCAUGGUAGGCAGUUUGACUGGGGCGGUCUCCUCCCAAAGUGUAACGGAGGAGUUCGAAGGUACGCUUGGUACGGUCGGACAUCGUACCUAAAGUGCAAUGGCAAAAGCGUGCUUAACUGCGAGACCGACAAGUCGAGCAGGUGCGAAAGCAGGACAUAGUGAUCCGGUGGUUCUGAAUGGAAGGGCCAUCGCUCAACGGAUAAAAGGUACUCUGGGGAUAACAGGCUGAUACCGCCCAAGAGUUCAUAUCGACGGCGGUGUUUGGCACCUCGAUGUCGGCUCAUCUCAUCCUGGGGCUGUAGCCGGUCCCAAGGGUAUGGCUGUUCGCCAUUUAAAGAGGUACGUGAGCUGGGUUUAAAACGUCGUGAGACAGUUUGGUCCCUAUCUGCCGUGGGCGUUGGAAUCUUGACGGGGGCUGCUCCUAGUACGAGAGGACCGGAGUGGACGUACCGCUGGUGUACCUGUUGUCUCGCCAGAGGCAUCGCAGGGUAGCUAUGUACGGAAGAGAUAACCGCUGAAAGCAUCUAAGCGGGAAACUCGCCUGAAGAUGAGGAUUCCCUGGAGCCUUGAGCUCCUUGAAGGGUCGUUCGAGACCAGGACGUUGAUAGGCUGGGUGUGGAAGCGCAGUAAUGCGUUAAGCUAACCAGUACUAAUUGCCCGUAAGGCUUGAUCCUAUAACCAGUGUGUUUC
rnacentral:rRNA from 1 species